rnacentral:rRNA from 1 species
AGUUCGAUUCUUGGCUCAGAUUGAACGCUGGCGGGAUGCUUUACACAUGCAAGUCGAACGGCAGCACGGACUUCGGUCUGGUGGCGAGUGGCGAACGGGUGAGUAAUGUAUCGGAACGUGCCUAGUAGGUGGGGGAUAGGUCUACGCGAAAGCGUAGCUAAUACCGCAUACGGCCCUUCGGGGGAAAGCGGGGGGACCUUUCGGGCCUCGCACUAUUAGAGCGGCUGAUAUCGGAUUAGCUAGUUGGUGGGGUAACGGCUCACCAAGCAACAUAUCCGUAGCUGGUCGAGAGGACGACCAGCCACACUGGGACUGAGACACGGCCCAGACUCCUACGGGAGGCAGCAGUGGGGAAUUUUGGGCAAUGGGGGGAAACCCUGAUCCAGCCAUCCCGCGUGUGCGAUGAAGGCCUUCGGGUUGUAAAGCACUUUUGGCAGGAAAGAAACGGCACGGGAUAAUACCCCCGUGCAACUGACGGUACCUGCAGAAUAAGCACCGGCUAACUACGCCAGCAGCCGCGGUAAUACGUAGGGUGCAAGCGUUAAUCGGAAUUACUGGGCGUAAAGCGUGCGCAGGCGGUUCGGAAAAAGAAAGAUGUGAAAUCCCAGAGCUAACUUUGGAACUGCAUUUUUAACUACCGAGCUAGAGUGUAGUCAGAGGGAGGUGGAAUUUCGCGUGUAGCAGUGAAAUGCGUAGAUAUGCGGAGGCAUCAACGACGGCGAAGGCAGCCUCCUGGGAUAAUUACCCGACGCUCAUGCACGAAAAAGCGCGGGGAGCAAACAGGAUUAGAUGCCCCGGUAGUCCACGCCCUAAACGAUGUCAACUAGCUGUUGGGGCCUUCGGGCUCGGUAGCGCAGCUAACGCAGGAAGUUGACCGCCUGGGGGAGCGUCAGUCGCAAAGAUUAAAACUCAAAGGAAUUGACGGGGACCCGCACAAGCGGUGGAUGAUGUGGAUUAAUUCGAUGCAACGCGAAAACCUUACCUACCCCUGCGUAGAUACUGUCUGGAAUCCUGAAGAGAUUUGGGAGUGCUCGCAAGAGAACCGGAACACAGGUGCUGCAUGGCUGUCGUCAGCUCGUGUCGUGAGAUGUUGGGUUAAGUCCUCAACGAGCGCAAACCCCGACACAGCACCACGAGAUCGUCGGUGACAAACCGGAGGAAGGUGGGGAUGACGUCAAGUCCUCAUGGCCCUUAUGGGUAGGGCUUCACACGUCAUACAAUGGUCGGGACAUAAUGCCGCACCCAACCACAGGGGGAGCCAAUCCCAGAAACCCGAUCGUAGUCCGGAUCGCAGUCUGCAACUCGACUGCGUGAAGUCGGAAUCGCUAGUAAUCGCGGAUCAGCAUGUCGCGGUGAAUACGUUCCCGGGUCUUGUACACACCGCCCGUCACACCAUGGGAGUGGGUUUUACCAGAAGUAGUUAGCCUAACCGUAAGGAGGGCGAUUACCACGGUAGGAUUCAUGACUGGGGUGAAGUCGUAACAAGGUA